rfam:Capsicum annuum cultivar Zunla-1 chromosome 2, whole genome shotgun sequence
GAAAGCCCUAUAAUGGGAAACUACCAUGUUAGGUUUGGAGAGAGAUGGAAUCAGUUAUAUAAUAGGGGAAACAGAUGCAAGCUUUUUGUUUCAAUAGCUGGCCAAAUGAAUACAGGAUCAUCGGUCUACUCUAC